rnacentral:rRNA from 1 species
UACGGAGGGGGCUAACGUUGUUCGGAAUUACUGGGCGUAAAGCGCGCGUAGGCGGAUUAGACAGUUGAGGGUGAAAUCCCGGAGCUUAACUCCGGAACUGCCUUCAAAACUCCCAGUCUAGAGUUCGAGAGAGGUGAGUGGAAUUUCUGGUGUAGCGGUGAAAUGCGUAGAUAUCAGAAGGAACAUCAAUGGCGAAGGCAGCUUUCUGGCUCGAUACUGACGCUGAGGUGCGAAAGUGUGGGGAGCAAACAGG